rnacentral:antisense_RNA from 1 species
CUUCACCGAGCCGAGCCACAACGGGCGGUCCUCGUCGCGUCCCUGUCCGUACGUCGCCAGGAGGGCCUGAGCCUC